GUGUGUAAAAAAAAUUAAUUUUUUUUAGUUAGCAGAACACUUAUGGAAAAGUAAAAGUGUUCCGGUUUGUUAAAAGUGUUCCAGUGGUAAGAUUUUUCCAAACUCUGCAUUUCAUUUGUUUGCUGCUAUAUGUUUCACCUGCUUUCUCUUAUUCUUUUUCAUAUGUUUAGCUUUUGUUCUAGCAAGGUCUUUCAUCUUUGGAAUGAUUCUUAUCCUCUUCUUCUCUUUAAAUUUUCCAACUCAUGGCUUUGCUCCACUGAUUGUUCACCGAUUAUGGUAUUUUUU
rnacentral:lncRNA from 1 species